rnacentral:pre_miRNA from 1 species
UAUUUACUCUCUCCGUUCGGAAUUACUUGUCUCGAAAAUGGAUGUAUCUAGAACUAAAAUACAUUUAGGUACAUUCAUUUCUGCGACAAGUAAUUCCGAACGGAGGGAGUAGUGU